UCCUACGGGGCGCAGCAGUAGGGAAUUUUCGUCAAUGGGCGCAAGCCUGAACGAGCAAUGCCGCGUGAACGAGGAAGGUCUUCGGAUCGUAAAGUUAUGUUGAAGGGGAAAAAGAGCGGAGAGAGGAAAUGGUCUCCGAUUGAUAUUACCCUUCGAGGAAGUCACGGCUAACUACGUGCCAGCAGCCGCGGUAAUACGUAGGUGGCGAGCGUUAUCCGGAAUGAUUGGGCGUAAAGGGUGCGUAGGCGGCCUGCUAAGUCUGGGGUGAACGGUACCGGCUCAACCGGUACAGGCUCUGGAAACUG
rnacentral:rRNA from 1 species